CUGGCUCAGAACGAACGCUGGCGGCAUGCCUAACACAUGCAAGUCGAACGAAGGCCCGGAGCUUGCUCCGGUGUCCUUAGUGGCGGACGGGUGAGUAACGCGUGGGAACCUACCUUGGAGCGGGGAAUAACCAUUGGAAACGAUGGCUAAUACUGUAUACGCCCUACGGGGGAAAGGCUUCGGCCGCUCUAGGAUGAGCCCGCGUCAGAUUAGCUUGUUGGUGGGGUAAGAGCCUACCAAGGCGACGAUGGUUAGCGGGUCUGAGAGGACGAUCCGCCACACUGGAACUGAGACACGGUCCAGACUCCUACGGGAGGCAGCAGUGGGGAAUAUUGCACAAUGGAGGCAACUCUGAUGCAGCAAUGUCGCGUGAGUGAAGAAGGCCCUUGGGUCGUAAAGCUCUUUUAUGGGGGAAGAUGAUGACGGUACCCCAAGAAUAAGCACCGGCUAACUACGUGCCAGCAGCCGCGGUAAUACGUAGGGUGCGAGCGUUGUUCGGAAUUACUGGGCGUAAAGGGCGUGCAGGCGGAUUGGUAAGCCGGAGGUGAAAGCCCGGGGCUCAACCCCGGAGGGUCUUUCGAAACUGCUAAUCUAGAGAGGGUCAGGGGCCAGCAGAAUUCUUGGUGUAGAGGUGAAAUUCGUAGAUAUCAAGAGGAAUACCGGUGGCGAAAGCGGCUGGCUGGGGCCACUCUGACGCUGAGGCGCGAAAGCGUGGGGAGCAAACAGGAUUAGAUACCCUGGUAGUCCACGCCGUAAACGAUGAGCACUAGAUGUUGGCGAUAUAAUGUCAGUGUUAAAGAGAAAUCGUUAAGUGAUCCACCUGGGGAGUACGUUCGCAAGAAUGA
rnacentral:rRNA from 1 species